UACGUAGGGGGCAAGCGUUAUCCGGAAUUACUGGGUGUAAAGGGAGCGUAGACGGUAAUGUAAGUCUGGAGUGAAAGCCCGGGGCCCAACCCCGGGACUGCUCUUGGAACUGCGUGGCUGGAGUGCAGGAGGGGCAGGCGGAAUUCCUGGUGUAGCGGUGAAAUGCGUAGAUAUCAGGAGGAACACCGGUGGCGAAGGCGGCCUGCUGGACUGCAACUGACGUUGAGGCCCGAAAGCGUGGGGAGCAAACAGG
rnacentral:rRNA from 1 species